ACGGCUCAGUAACACGUGGUCAACAUACCCAGAGGACGUGGAUAACCUCGGGAAACUGAGGAUAAACCGCGAUAGACCAUAAUGUCUGGAAUGAUUUAUGGUUCAAAUCUAUAUGGCCUCUGGAUUGGACUGCGGCCGAUCAGGCUGUUGGUGAGGUAAUGGCCCACCAAACCUGAAACCGGUACGGGCUCUGAGAGGAGAAGCCCGGAGAUGGGCACUGAGACAAGGGCCCAGGCCCUAUGGGGCGCAGCAGGCGCGAAACCUUUGCAAUAGGCGAAAGCCUGACAAGGUUACUCUGAGUGAUCUCCGCUAAGGAAAUCUUUUGACACCUCUAAAAAUGGUGUAGAAUAAGGGGUGGGCAAGCCUGGUGUCAGCCGCCGCGGUAAUACCAGCACCCCGAGUGGUCGGGACGAUUAUUGGGCCUAAAGCAUCCGUAGCCGGUUCUUUAAGUCCUCCGUUAAAUCCACCUGCUUAACAGAUGGGCUGCGGAGGAUACUAUAGAGCUAGGAGGCGGGAGAGGCAAGCGGUACUCAGUGGGUAGGGGUAAAAUCCGUUGAUCCAUUGAAGACCACCAGUGGCGAAGGCGGCUUGCCAGAACGCGCUCGACGGUGAGGGAUGAAAGCUGGGGGAGCAAACCGGAUUAGAUACCCGGGUAGUCCCAGCUGUAAACGAUGCAGACUCGGUGAUGAACAGGCUUCGUGCCUGUUCAGUGCCGCAGGAAGCCGUUAAGUCUGCCGCCUGGGUAGUACGGUCGCAAGACUGAAACUUAAAGGAAUUGGCGGGGGAG
rnacentral:rRNA from 1 species